rnacentral:rRNA from 1 species
CGGGUGGUAAAUUUCACCUAAGGCUAAAUAUAUGCAAGAGACCGAUAGCGAACAAGUACCGUGAGGGGAAGAUGAAAAGAACUUUGAAAAGAGAGUUAAAUAGUACGUGAAAUUGUUGAAAGGGAAACGAUUGAAGUCAGUCAUGCUAGUGGGGAAUCAACUUGAUGGUGUGUGGGUUCGCUCUCAUACUUUCCGGUGCACUUCCUCACUCGGCAGGUUAGCAUCAAUUUCGGUUAUCAUAAAAAAUUUGAGGGAAUGUGGCUUUUCCUUCGGAAAAGUGUUAUAGACCUUGAUCUAUGUGGUGACCGGGAUUGAGGAUUGCAGCGGAUACCCUUGUGGCUGAUCACCUGGCUUCUGACGGUUACCCCGCUUUCGAUAGCUCGCUAACGUUAGUGGGACUCAAUCGUCUAGAUGUUAGAGUGAAUCAUUUUCGCUAAGGAUGCUGACGUAAUGGCUUUAAACGACCCGUCUUGAAACACGGACCAAGGAGUCUAACAUGUGUGCGAGUGUUUGGGUGUUAAAACCCGGAACGCGUAAUGAAAGUAAUCUUGGUGGGAACCCUUCGGGGUGCACCAUCGACC